rnacentral:rRNA from 1 species
CUACGGGGGGCUGCAGUGGGGAAUAUUGGACAAUGGGGGAAACCCUGAUCCAGCAAUGCCGCGUGUGUGAAAAAGGCCUGCGGGUUGUAAAGCACUUUCGGUUGGGAGGACUGCUUCUAGCACUAAUAUUGUUGGAAGUUGACGUUACCUUCAGAAGAAGCACCGGCUAACUCCGUGCCAGCGGCCGCGGUAAUACGGAGGGUGCAAGCGUUAAUCGGAAUUACUGGGCGUAAAGCGCGCGUAGGCGGCUAGAUCAGUCGGGUGUGAAAGCCCCGGGCUUAACCUGGGAACUGCAUCCGAUACUGUCUAGCUUGAGUACAGGAGAGGAGAGUGGAAUUCCACAUGUAGCGGUGAAAUGCGUAGAUAUGUGGAGGAACACCAAUGGCGAAGGCAGCUCUCUGGCCUGAUACUGACGCUGAGGUGCGAAAGCGUGGGGAGCAAACAGGAUUAGAUACCCGCGUAGUC